rfam:Flavobacterium sp. ABG contig25, whole genome shotgun sequence.
AAGGCGUAAUCUGAAAAGCCUUCAACAGAGUAGGAA